rnacentral:tRNA from 1 species
GCGCCAGUAGCUCAGCUGGAUAGAGUACUUGACUACGAAUCAAGGGGUCAGGGGUUCGAAUCCCUUCUGGCGCACCA